rnacentral:snoRNA from 1 species
CCCCUCUCAGAAUCACACCUGGAGAAUUUCCAGUACUCUAUCAGCCCCGGCUAUGGGAGGGAGAAUCAAGCAGAGGCCUAUCCAUUCCAUUCCUAGCUUGGGGAGUGGCUAGCGAGUGGAAGGGAAUCUGCUACAAGU